GACGAACGCUGGCGGCGUGCUUAACACAUGCAAGUCGAACGAUGAAGCCGGAGCUUGCUCUGGUGAAUUAGUGGCGAACGGGUGAGUAACACGUGAGUAACCUGCCCUUGACUCUGGGAUAACUGCGGGAAACUGUAGCUAAUACCGGAUACGACCCUCGGAGGCAUCUCCUGGGGGUGGAAAGAAUUUCGGUCAAGGAUGGACUCGCGGCCUAUCAGCUAGUUGGUGAGGUAAAGGCUCACCAAGGCGACGACGGGUAGCCGGCCGGAGAGGGGAACCGGCCACACUGGGACUGAGACACGGCCCAGACUCCUACGGGAGGCAGCAGUGGGGAAUAUUGCACAAUGGGCGCAAGCCUGAUGCAGCAACGCCGCGUGAGGGAUGACGGCCUUCGGGUUGUAAACCUCUUUUAGCAGGGAAGAAGCGAAAGUGACGGUACCUGCAGAAAAAGCACCGGCUAACUACGUGCCAGCAGCCGCCGUAA
rnacentral:rRNA from 1 species